GGAGGAAUUCCCGAGUGGCCAAAGGGGGCAGACUGUAAAUCUGUUGCGUUUCGCUUCGAUGGUUCGAAUCCAUCUUCCUCCACCA
rnacentral:tRNA from 31 species